rnacentral:rRNA from 1 species
GACGAACGCUGGCGGCGUGCUUAACACAUGCAAGUCGAACGGAAAGGCCCUGCUUUUGUGGGGUGCUCGAGUGGCGAACGGGUGAGUAACACGUGAGUAACCUGCCCUUGACUUUGGGAUAACUUCGGGAAACUGGGGCUAAUACCGGAUAGGAGCUCCUGCUGCAUGGUGGGGGUUGGAAAGUUUCGGCGGUUGGGGAUGGACUCGCGGCUUAUCAGCUUGUUGGUGGGGUAGUGGCUUACCAAGGCUUUGACGGGUAGCCGGCCUGAGAGGGUGACCGGCCACAUUGGACUGAGAUACGGCCCAGACUCCUACGGGAGGCAGCAGUGGGGAAUAUUGCACAAUGGGCGGAAGCCUGAUGCAGCAACGCCGCGUGCGGGAUGACGGCCUUCGGGUUGUAAACCGCUUUCGCCUGUGACGAAGCGUGAGUGACGGUAAUGGGUAAAGAAGCACCGGCUAACUACGUG